GAUUUGAGGGUACUCUGACUGCAACAUCUUUCACCCCAUUGAUCGCCAGGAUUGAUUUGGUUGAUCUGGCUGAGCAGGCGGGUGUCCCCGUCCUCCCUCACUGCCCCAUAUGUGUCCCUCCUAAAGCUGCAUGCUCAGUUGAAGAGGACGAGAGGACGACCUUCUCUGAUAGAGGAGGACCACGCUUCAGUCAAAGGCAUACAAGUAUCU
rnacentral:lncRNA from 1 species